rnacentral:rRNA from 1 species
UACGUAGGGGGCAAGCGUUGUCCGGAUUUACUGGGCGUAAAGAGCGUGUAGGCGGCCACGCAGGUCCGUUGUGAAAACUGGAGGCUCAACCUUCAGACGUCGACGGAAACCGUGUGGCUAGAGUCCGGAAGAGGAGAGUGGAAUUCCUGGUGUAGCGGUGAAAUGCGCAGAUAUCAGGAAGAACACCAAUGGCGAAAGCACUCUGCUGGGCCGACACUGACACUGAGAGACGAAAGCUAGGGGAGCGAAUGGG